AAAGCAGGUUGCAAUUACAGUGCUUCAUUUUGUGGGAGUACUGCCAUAAUCCUGCUGAGAGGAAAGUUUACAUUACUUAAGAGGUUUUUUUUCCUGGUCACUGAAGUGGCAGGGAUGCUCUCAAGUACUGACAAUU